rnacentral:lncRNA from 7 species
ACCUUAUGCCCGUGACUGAGCUCCUGCAUACACCAAAUAGUUGGCUUGAGGGAUGCAAUUCUGCUAUAAUUUGCCAAAACUCUAAAAGAUUUUCCCAUUUAGAGCUGAAUGGAAGAGGAAAGCCUUUGAGCAGGAAUUGCUUCGUGUGAGAACUGAUAAGAGCUUCCAGGAAUGGGAGAAAGAAUUGAAAAAGAUGUAAUGGAAAGGCCUCUAGCAGGGAAUUGAACACAGGUCUUCUACAUAGUGUUCUGGGAGGUGCUGGACACAGACUCUCUGGAGAGUAGCAGCUUUAGCUGUACAGCUCUGUGGGAAGGCCUAAUUACCAGUGAUUACUCUUUCAUCCUAUGCAUUCAUAGGAUGUUCUGGGUCAGCUGGAAAUGAUCUUUUUCUGAACUUGAGAAACAUUUGGGGCCUUCAGUUAGCCAUUUGUCUUCCUAUUUUGGGUGCACAACGCUGAAGAUACAAAAGCUUAACGAUGUUGAACAUGCUGAUUCUGAGACCCAAGAGAAUCCAGGAUUUUGUGAUCAUUUGAAAACCUGGUGACCUACUGUAAAGUGGCAUUUUUUUUUAGGAGGAAGAAUAUUUGUUUGAUUUUUGAAAGCAUUUAACAAAAAUGGGAACACUCUAAACCAUAUUUUUAAUCCUCCUAAUGAUAUUUGCAUGAUUCAGUAGAGUUUAUUUAUCCCUCUGCACUCUAUGCCUCAGUUUACAACUCUAAAUGUAUAAUUAUUUACAUACACAAUCUUCCAGUUAAAAAUGUUUGAAAUAUAGUUGACCUUUUUAAAAAUGUGAGAUAGUAAAUGGAGGAACUUGCUUGCUUUGUUUUCUGAUUCCAGGACACUUAGAAUAUGCUUUAGUGCUAUUUCUGUACUCUGCCUCAUGAAGUCUGGAAGUGAUCUUAAAAUGAAAGUUGGAAUGCUAACACAUGGAAAAAGUAAUACUGUGGCACUCCAAUAAAAUUAAAAAAAUUAUGUAAAAAAACCAAAACAAAACACUAAGCCCAAAGUUAUCUGUAUUAUCUACAAAGAAACCUUUUAAAGAAGUUUUAAAUAGAAGUGUACAGAUGCAAAAUACUAAUGUGGAUGUGACUUCUGCAACUGUGAGGAACACAAAAUUGAUGUGUGGGUGUCAUUAUAAAAAAUAGAACAGCACCAUACUAACAGAUAUGUUAAAAUUUAAAUGUUGAAUUAAAUCUCUCUUAAAACAUUCUGUGCAGUGUUAUGUCAAGUAACAAAGUUACAAUCCAAAUUUUUUUUCAUCUGUAUCUCUAAAUCUCUAAAUGUGUGGGUUUAACUCUCUCCUCCUUUUUUUAAACCAUCGUGACCUGAAGAUAUCUUGCAGUGGAAAUAAAAAUAUUGAAAAAAUGGAAGUCUUAAGAGUAAAAAGUAGAUCCUUAGAGACUGAAGUAAUAGCAUUAGUGGACAAACUAAAAUAAAAAAAGCAGGUCCAAUUCAGAUGUGCAGCCUGGCGAAGUCCAUU